ensembl:lncRNA
AAGGGUGAGAGCGAGUGAGAGAGCAUGAGAAGAGCAUGUGAAGAGUGACUGAAGAGAGAAGGUGAAGAGUGAAUGAGGGAAUGUGAGGUGUGUAUGAAGAGUGUGUGUGUGCGUGAAAGGAGAGUGCAUGUGGUGUGUGUGAGAUAUGUGUGAGGUGUGCAUGAAGAGUGUGUGUGAGAGUGAAAGGAGAGUGCGUGUGGUGUGUGUGAGAUAUGUGUGAGGUGUGUAUGAAGAGUGUGUGUGUGUGAGUGAAAGGAGAGUGCGUGUGGUGUGUGUGAGAUAUGUGUGAGGUGUGCAUGAAGAGUGUGUGUGAGAGUGAAAGGAGAGUGCAUGUGGUGUGUGUGAGAUAUGUGUGAGGUGUGCAUGAAGAGUGUGUGUGUGAGUGAAAGAGAGUGCAUGUGGUGUGUGUGAGAUAUGUGUGAGGUGUGUAUGAAGAGUGUGUGUGUGAGUGAGAGAGAGUGCAUGUGGUGUGUGUGAGAU